ACACGGCGGCAGGCGGCAGCGGAGGGACGGCGGCGGCAGCGCUCCGCCGGCCGGCCCGGCUUCCCGCCGUGGUGGGAGUGCCCCCUCUGGGACGCAGAAUUACAGAAUGGAACCAUCUGUCAUUGCGUUGGACAAGAGCAUCUCGUUUCGCUCUCGUGCCGUGGCCACACAGCUCCUCUGGUUCCUUCGAGCUCCGUCCAGCCUGGCUUUGGACACGCCGAGGAUGGAGCCAGCCCGGAGGUUCUCUGUGCACCCGGUGGCAGGGCCUCACCACUCUCACAGGGAGAAAUUUAUUCCUAAUAUCUAAUCUAACCCCGCUCUCUAGUGGUUGAACAAUCCCAGCUCUCUCAGCCUUUUAUCACAGCAGAAGUGCUCCGUGCCCCUGACCAUGCUGGUGCCACCUCUGGGCCCACUCCAACAGGUCCUUGUCCUUGACCCACAGCUGGAGGCAGGUGGGUCUCACCUGAGCAGAGGGGCAGAAUCCUCCCCUCUGCUGCUGCCCACACUCAUUUCGGUAAAUGCUUCUCUCCCACCUGUCAGAAAGCAUCCAGCAGGCACUGAAACGUGUCAAAAUCCUCACCCACAACUGAAGGACAAUGGAAGCAACCUUUAAAUCGUAGCACGCUUUGGGAAAAAUGAAUUAAGCUUGCCUUCAGAUUUUGUACCCUGGUCUAGCCAAGUGGUAGAUUGUGUUUGCUUAUAGACAGUGGUUUGGUGUGGUUAAACAAAUAUUUAAAAAGUAAAUAUCUAUGCUUAAUCAAAUAUCACCAUUGUUUAUGUUUAAAUAAAAUAUGUUUAAAUUACGACA